AAACCAGGCGCUAUUCUCUGACGUAUUCCAAUGCAUCUGGCGCGGCAUUUUAAGUGGCCAUCCAAUUAGAAGAUGCAAACGAGCAGCGCUUGUGCAUAUCUUCGUUGCUUCGCCCCGUCGUCUGGAAUGUUCGUAAGACUCGCGAAUAUUGCCAGAUAUUGCUCCAAACCAUUGGAGGCUGCGACUACAAAUUGUGACGCAGAUAGGUCACAUAAAGCACAAAGGUGUGCCUUGCAUAGACACACCUUUGCUUUGCCAGGUUAGACUCGCAGGCAAGGCUUGACAGUUUUAGAUUAGCGGAUGCAGGUGCCUCGUACGCAGAUCGCUUCAGUCCCACCGAAAACACAAGCAGUCCUUGGGUUCUUUGGUAAGCAAGCCGCUUGCGUCCCCUAAUAUCAAAACUCUACUGAUUCAAGUUUGCAGUACGAGGCGAGCUAUUGAACUAAGACUUGAGUAAAUCUAGCGUAGCAAAAAACCUCACGGAACCUCAAAUAAUUUACUUCAAUCUUCCUUGAACUUGAACCCAGGACUAUAUAAGUGUGACACCGUGCAGCGCGGCAUUCUAUGGGCUCGGUGGCACGACAGCCAUGACAACAGCCGCUUACCUGCGACGCCUUUUCGUUCUGCAGCAAUCAUUGUCAUCAGGAGUGGUGCCGGAAGACUGGAGAGUAGGCAAGAUUGUUCCAGUCCCCAAAAAAGCUAUACUACCAGCUCAUCGUCAGUCCAGCCGCAUUAGCCACAGCAAAGCCGUGUAUCCUCCCCCGGCGCAGACUACCUCUCAUCUACGAUCAUUUUUUGUGAAAACCGCCAGGGACUGGAACGGUCUGUCUGCCGACAUCACGCACCACUCCGACACUCAUCACUUCAAGGCUGCUCUAGAAUCACUGUUUGUUAAAGCCCAUCCCUCAUGUAAUACCCCAUCUCUGGGGCCUUUGAGGUAU